rnacentral:rRNA from 1 species
AACGAACUCUGGCGGCGUGCCUAACACAUGCAAGUCGAACGAGAAAGGGGCUUCGGCUCCGAGUAAAGUGGCGCACGGGUGAGUAACACGUGGGUAACCUGCCUCUAAGAUUGGGAUAACUCGUCGAAAGAUGAGCUAAUACCGAAUAAGACCACAGUUCCCGCGGGAACAGGGGUCAAAGGUAGCCUCUGCUUGCAAGCUAUCACUUAGAGAUGGGCCUGCGCACCAUUAGCUAGUUGGUAGGGUAACGGCCUACCAAGGCAAAGAUGGUUAGCUGGUCUGAGAGGAUGAUCAGCCACACUGGAACUGAGACACGGUCCAGACUCCUACGGGAGGCAGCAGUGGGGAAUAUUGCGCAAUGGGCGAAAGCUUGACGCAGCAACGCCGCGUGAGUGAUGAAGGCCUUCGGGUCGUAAAGCUCUGUCGGGAGGAACGAAUGCUCCUGAGGUUAACAGCCUCGGGAGGUGACGGUACCUUCAAAGGAAGCACCGGCUAACUCUGUG